rnacentral:rRNA from 1 species
AUUGAACGCUGGCGGCAGGCCUAACACAUGCAAGUCGAAUGGUAACAGGAAACAGCUUGCUGUUUCGCUGACGAGUGGCGGACGGGUGAGGAAUGUCUGGGAAACUGCCUGAUGGAGGGGGAUAACUACUGGAAACGGUAGCUAAUACCGCAUAACGUCGCAAGACCAAAGAGGGGGACCUUCGGGCCUCUUGCCAUCAGAUGUGCCCAGAUGGGAUUAGCUAGUAGGUGGGGUAACGGCUCACCUAGGCGACGAUCCCUAGCUGGUCUGAGAGGAUGACCAGCCACACUGGAACUGAGACACGGUCCAGACUCCUACGGGAGGCAGCAGUGGGGAAUAUUGCACAAUGGGCGCAAGCCUGAUGCAGCCAUGCCGCGUGUAUGAAGAAGGCCUUCGGGUUGUAAAGUACUUUCAGCGGGGAGGAAGGGAGUAAAGUUAAUACCUUUGCUCAUUGACGUUACCCGCAGAAGAAGCACCGGCUAACUCCGUG